rnacentral:rRNA from 1 species
AGAGUUUGAUCCUGGCUCAGAAUAAACGCUGGCGGCGUGCUUAACACAUGCAAGUCGAGCGAGAAAGUCCUUCGGGAUGAGUACAGCGGCGAACGAGUGAGUAACGCGUAAGAAUCUGCCUUUUAGUGAAGAAUACCCUUGAGAAAUCGAGGUUAAUGCUGCAUACGUCCUACGGGAGAAAGAUGGCCUCUUUGCUGUCGCUAAAAGAUGAGCUUGCGUACUAUUAGUUAGUUGGUGAGGUAAUGGCUCACCAAGACAAUGAUGGUUAGCCGGCCUGAGAGGGUGUACGGCCACGCUGGAACUUAGAUACGGUCCAGACUCCUACGGGAGGCAGCAGUGGGGAAUAUUGCGCAAUGGGCGAAAGCCUGACGCAGCGACGCCGCGUGGAGGAUGAAGGUCUUUGGAUUGUAAACUCCUGUUAAGUGGGAAGAAAAGCUUUAUUUUAAUAGAGUUGAGCAAUGACGGUACCAUUAGAGAAAGCACCGGCUAAUCUCGUGCCAGCAGCCGCGGUAAUACGAGAGGUGCAAGCGUUAUUCGGAAUUAUUGGGCGUAAAGGGUGCGUAGGUGGCAUAAUAAGUCAACUGUAAAAUUCCUCAGCCUAACUGAGGGCUCGCAGUAGAAACUGUAAUGCUAGAGGGUGGAAGAGAGAAGUGGAAUUCUCGGAGUAGCGGUAAAAUGCGUAGAUCUCGAGAGGAACACCGAUGGCGAAGGCAAGCUUCUUGGUCCACUACUGACACUGAGGCACGAAAGCGUGGGGGAGCAAACAGGGAAUUAGAUACCCCCGUAGUCC